GUCUACAGCCUUACCACCCUGAACACGCCCAGUAUCAUCUGAUCUUGGAAGCUAAGCAUGUCAGGCCUGGUUAGUACUUGGAUGGAAGAAGUAUGUCUGUGAGAAUUACAACUCAUGGACU
ensembl:rRNA 5S_rRNA 5S ribosomal RNA